UAUCUUUCAAUAGACCACAGGACUCAGUGUAAAUAGUCUCGGGCGUAUUGCAAGGAGGAUGGACAGUGUUCUGGGCCCGUCGCUCCUACAUAAGGAUGUCAACUGCAAGCUGAUGAGGUGCUGAUCCAUCUUAUGGCCAGAAACAAGGCAUCCAUGGCUCUGGAGUUCAUCCUUGAUGCUGCAAAGAAACCUGACUUUUUACAUCAAGCCUGCCUUAGCUUGAAGAUCUGGACAUACCAAGAAGACUUCCAGUCAAUCCUUAUAUUGAUGCACACCAUCUCCCAAAAUGUCUGCAUUAAGAUGGAGUACAGUCAGGAACCAAGACCUGAAUCAGUGCCUGAUACCCAAUAUUGAAAAAGCAGAACCAGUUUAAGUUGUAAAAGCUUUAUUGAAGAAAAUU